rnacentral:misc_RNA from 1 species
GAACAAUCCAGUUCAAUAACAACUCUUAUCUCAUUCUAUACCUAACAGAACUCUUAAAAUAUAUAUACCAUAAUCAUCUAUUUUUGCUAAAUUUUGCUCUCAAAGUCUGUUUAUCAUCUCCUUUUCUACUAAAUAUUCUCAACAUGUAUUUUCAUCAUCUAUCAUUAUUGUUAUAUGUGUGUGAGGGUGGGGUCUUAGGUGGCGUACCAUAGAAGUGGCAUAUAAGUGGCUUAGGUAGUUAUAGGUUAGGGUGUAAAUGACCAAUCUAACCAUUCAUUUUUCAUUUAAAAUUGGGAUAAAUUUUGACAAUCGCUUCUGAACUUAUCUAGUAUAAUUUUAUAGUCACUCAAUUUAAAAAUGUAACAUAAA